rnacentral:rRNA from 1 species
UACGGAGGAUGCGAGCGUUGUCCGGAUUUAUUGGGUUUAAAGGGUGCGUAGGCGGCUUAAUAAGUCAUCGUUGAAAUCUAACCGCUUAACGGUUAUUAGGCGUUGAUACUGUUGAGCUUGAGUGAACUGGAGGCAGAUAGAACUGGUAGAGUAGCGGUGAAAUGCAUAGAUACUACCAAGAAUACCAAUUGCGAAGGCAGUCUGCUACAUUUCAACUGACGCUGAGGCACGAAAGUGUGGGUAUCCAACAGG